rnacentral:misc_RNA from 1 species
CCUGCUGUUCGGCCUGCUCGGCGGCGGUCUCUGGACCUAUCCGACCUUCAAGCUGCUCGCCGCCGAAGCAUGGCGCAGGAAGCCGCGCAAUCUCGCCGCCUUCCUUGGUGACGCACUGACGCCGGCGCGCGGCUGGCUGGAGACGUCCUACCAGUCCGACCUUUCCCGCGCGCUUUGGGCGCCCUGGGUGCUUCAUGC